AUUGAACGCUGGCGGCAGGCCUAACACAUGCAAGUCGAACGAGUGGCGGACGGGAGUGUAAUGUCUGGGAAACUGCCUGAUGGAGGGGGAUAACUACUGGAAACGGUAGCUAAUACCGCAUACCAACGGAUGUGCCCAGAUGGGAUUAGCUAGUAGGUGGGGUAACGGUUCACCUAGGCGACGAUCCCUAGCUGGUCUGAGAGGAUGACCACCAACACUGGAACUGAGACACGGUCCAGACUCCUACGGGAGGCAGCAGUGGGGAAUAUUGCGCAGUGGGAGCAAGCCUGAUGCAGCCAUGCCGCGUGUAUGAAGAAGGCCUUCGGGGUGUAAAGUACUUUCAGCGGGGAGGCGUUACCCGCAGAAGAAGCACCGGCUAACUCCGUGCCAGCCGCCGCGGUAAUAC
rnacentral:rRNA from 1 species